rnacentral:misc_RNA from 1 species
UCCGGUUUGUCACCGGCAGUCUCGCAUGAGUCCCCAACUAAAUGCUGGCAACAUACGACGGGGGUUGCGCUCGUUGCGGGACUUAACCCAACAUCUCACGACACGAGCUGACGACAGCCAUGCACCACCUGUGAAGGUGCCCCGAAGGGAAGCCGUGUUUCCACGGCGGUCACCCACAUGUCAAGCCCAGGUAAGGUUCUUCGCGUUGCGUCGAAUUAAACCACAUGCUCCGCUGCUUGUGCGGGUCCCCGUCAAUUCCUUUGAGUUUUAGCCUUGCGGCCGUAGUCCCCAGGCGGCGGACUUACCGCGUUAGCUGCGGCACCGGGGGGGUCGAUACCCCCGCAUCCAGUGCCCAUCGUUUACAGCGUGGACUAC